rnacentral:rRNA from 1 species
AGAGUUUGAUCCUGGCUCAGAAUAAACGCUGGCGGCGUGCUUAACACAUGCAAGUCGAACGAGAAAGGCGGGCUUCGGUCUGCCGAGUAAAGUGGCGCACGGGUGAGUAACGCGUAGGUAACCUGCCCAUGUGUUUGGGAUAACAGAUCGAAAGGUCUGCUAAUACCGGAUACGAUGGUUGACCGAGAGGUUAACGAUGAAAGUCUGCCACUCUGAAGAAGCAGACGCACAUGGAGGGGCCUGCGUCCUAUCAGCUAGUUGGUAGGGUAACGCCCUACCAAGGCGACGACGGGUAGCUGGUCUGAGAGGAUGAUCAGCCACACUGGCACUGGAACACGGGCCAGACUCCUACGGGAGGCAGCAGUGAGGAAUUUUGCGCAAUGGCCGCAAGGCUGACGCAGCAACGCCGCGUGGGUGAUGAAGGCCUUCGGGUCGUAAAGCCCUGUCAGGUGGGAAGAAAGGCGAAUGGUCGAAGAGGCUGUUUGUUUGACGGUACCACCAGAGGAAGCACCGGCUAACUCCGUGCCAGCAGCCGCGGUAAUACGGAGGGUGCGAGCGUUAUUCGGAAUUACUGGGCGUAAAGCGCGUGCAGGCGGGAGAGUAAGUCUGAUGUGAAAGCCCCGGGCUCAACCCGGGAAGUGCAUUGGAGACUGCUUUUCUUGAGUACUGGAGAGGAAGGGGGAAUUCCCGGUGUAGAGGUGAAAUUCGUAGAGAUCGGGAGGAAUACCAGUGGCGAAGGCGCCCUUCUGGACGGUUACUGACGCUGAGACGCGAAAGCGUGGGGAGCAAACAGGAUUAGAUACCCUGGUAGUCCACGCCGUAAACGAUGAUCACUAGGUGUAGCGGGUACUCAUUCCUGCUGUGCCGCAGCUAACGCGUUAAGUGAUCCGCCUGGGGAUUACGGUCGCAAGACUAAAACUCAAAUGAAUUGACGG